GACGAACGCUGGCGGCGUGCUUAACACAUGCAAGUCGAACGGAAAGGCCCUGCUUUUGUUGGGUGCUCGAGUGGCGAACGGGUGAGUAACACGUGAGUAACCUGCCCUUGACUUUGGGAUAACUUCAGGAAACUGUUGCUAAUACCGGAUAGGAGCUCCUGCUGCAUGGGGGGGGUUGGAAAGUUUCGGCGGUUGGGGAUGGACUCGCGGCUUAUCAGCUUGUUGGUGGGGUAGUGGCUUACCAAGGCUUUGACGGGUAGCCGGCCUGAGAGGGUGACCGGCCCCAUUGGGCCUGAGAUACGGACCAGACUCGUACGGGAGGCAGCGGUGGGGAAUAUUGCCCAAUGGGCGGAAGUGCGAUGCGACAACGCCGCGUGCGGGAUCCGGGCCUUCGGGUUAUAAAACGCUUUCGCCUGUGACGAAGCGUGAGUGACGGUACUGGGUAAAGAAGCACCGGCUAACUACGUG
rnacentral:rRNA from 1 species